AUACUUACCGGGCAGGGGAGAUAGCAUGAUUCCAAAGGCGGCUUUCCCAGGGCGAGCUUAUUCAUUGCACUCUGGGUGUUCCGACCGCUGUGAUGUCCCCAAAUGUGGGAAACUCAACUGCAUAAUUUGUGGUAGUGGGGGGACUGCAUUCACACUCUCCCCUG